rnacentral:rRNA from 1 species
AUGGAACGCCGGCGGCUGCAAGCUCGCCAAGACCACGACCUACCGGACGACGUGCUCGCCGACGCCCUCCGUGGGGUCCUGCCGCGCUGGCUCGCCGCGUCGCGGUGCGUCUGUAAGGCCUGGCGCCGCGUCAUCGACGAGCGCCGCCUCCUGCGCACGGACCUGCUCCCGCUCUCGCUCGCCGGCAUCUUCAUCCAGUUUGACUGCCACGCGUUCCCGGAGUUC